rnacentral:lncRNA from 1 species
AAAAAAAAAAAAAAAAAAAAAAAAAAAAAAAAAAAAAAAAAAGGAGAUAUGAUCUUAAUUUAGCUAAUUGUUGAUCUGGUAAAGACAUGUGCCAUCUUAGCCAUUCUAAUCAUUUUAUUCUGUAAUACUACUAAUCUGCUGUUCCAUCUCUGCAAAUAGUUGUAUGCCUCCCCAAAACACCUGCUGGUUAACCUUCAAACUCUCUUGAAGAUUUUAUUUUCACAUUUGCUGAAUUAAGGCAAUGUGUAAUGAAAGUACUUACUUCAAGUAAAGCCCUGGUGGUUAGCAGUGGAGAAGAACUGAGGUGUACAAGCCUCUGCAUCUCCAUAAGAGUUCAGCUACAGAAAGUAACAGGAUCAUUGCCUACUAAAGUGACAGUCUCAUUUAUUUUCAUUGAGAGUAUUAUGUUUCAGUCAGCUGAUUGGUUUUAAAGUCCAGCCUUGCUUUUCACCAGCGUGAAGAAGUUUUUUUACUCUCCAUUAAAACUAUCUCUUUCAAGAGUCUAAUUUUAUGAACUUGCUUUUAUGUGUCAUCCUACAGUGAGAAAGUACACGUGGCAAUCAUGAGACAGGAUAAGCUGAAUUUCUGCUGCAGUUUGCUUUAUCAAUAACGUUUCUUGUUAUGUAAAUUGAGAAAAGCUACUGAGGUUAUUAUUUUCUCUGGAACUAGCUGCCAGUUACCUAUCCUUGGCAUGAAUAAGAAGCUUUUAUAGUGGUACAGUCUUUUUCAUUCCUAAAAAAAAAAACCAGGCCUGUUAUACAGCAGCACUACUAUAGUCCUACUUUGUAAACAAUCCACACCAAAGAGAGCGUGUGGUUAGAAAGUCCAUGAUGCUGAGCUAAAACUGAAACAUCAUUUGUGUCAGUACUACUCCCAAAAUUAAUUAUGACUCCUGAGUUAGUACCUGAUUUCUGUCCUAUGUCACAACUGCAGCGGUCCACUUGGGGUGUACAUGGAUGUAGAACUGAUUUAUAACUAUCUCUUUGGGUAAUACUUUUCAUCAGAAUACGUCAACGUUUUCAUUUGCACAAAUGGGUGGAAAUGGCAACUCUUAAUUUUUAGAAAUAAAUAUAUGAAGACCACUGCAUACUUGUCUAGUUUCUGUUUGUAUGCUUGUGUGUGUAUAUAUAGAUGUGCUUACACUUAAACAUAGGCUGUUACAGGGUAGGUAAGUCUUAGGCUUUCCCCUUCC